GCUUACCUGCAAGUCGAGCGGGGAAGGGUAGCUUGCUACCUGACCUAGCGGCGGACGGGUGAGUAAUGCUUAGGAAUCUGCCUAUUAGUGGGGGACAACAUUCCGAAAGGAAUGCUAAUACCGCAUACGCCCUACGGGGGAAAGCAGGGGAUCUUCGGACCUUGCGCUAAUAGAUGAGCCUAAGUCAGAUUAGCUAGUUGGUGGGGUAAAGGCCUACCAAGGCGACGAUCUGUAGCGGGUCUGAGAGGAUGAUCCGCCACACUGGGACUGAGACACGGCCCAGACUCCUACGGGAGGCAGCAGUGGGGAAUAUUGGACAAUGGGCGAAAGCCUGAUCCAGCCAUGCCGCGUGUGUGAAGAAGGCCUUUUGGUUGUAAAGCACUUUAAGCGAGGAGGAGGCUACCGAGAUUAAUACUCUUGGAUAGUGGACGUUACUCGCAGAAUAAGCACCGGCUAACUCUGUGCCAGCAGCCGCGGUAAUACAGAGGGUGCGAGCGUUAAUCGGAUUUACUGGGCGUAAAGCGUGCGUAGGCGGCUUUUUAAGUCGGAUGUGAAAUCCCUGAGCUUAACUUAGGAAUUGCAUUCGAUACUGGGAAGCUAGAGUAUGGGAGAGGAUGGUAGAAUUCCAGGUGUAGCGGUGAAAUGCGUAGAGAUCUGGAGGAAUACCGAUGGCGAAGGCAGCCAUCUGGCCUAAUACUGACGCUGAGGUACGAAAGCAUGGGGAGCAAACAGGAUUAGAUACCCUGGUAGUCCAUGCCGUAAACGAUGUCUACUAGCCGUUGGGGCCUUUGAGGCUUUAGUGGCGCAGCUAACGCGAUAAGUAGACCGCCUGGGGAGUACGGUCGCAAGACUAAAACUCAAAUGAAUUGACGGGGGCCCGCACAAGCGGUGGAGCAUGUGGUUUAAUUCGAUGCAACGCGAAGAACCUUACCUGGUCUUGACAUAGUAAGAACUUUCCAGAGAUGGAUUGGUGCCUUC
rnacentral:rRNA from 1 species